UUUGAGAAAUACUAUCGUCUUUCAUACCUUUACCAGUUAAGUGAAUGAUUUGAUAUUUAUCGAGUAGCGUCGAUAGAUUAUUACGGAUAGCAUCGUUAAUUUUCUUACUUCCUAAACUACCGCCCAUAACAAGUAAAACUUCUUUAUCAGCAUUAAAGUUAGUUAAAUCAUAACC
rnacentral:ncRNA from 1 species